rnacentral:ncRNA from 1 species
AGGUGAUGUCUCCUUACCUUUAUCAAUGGAGGCACUCGGUUGCACUGUGGGUAGGGAGAUAUUUCUACCUUAGAUACGAGGAGUUAUCAUGGGUGUAUUGUGAGGUGGGGUUUGAUGCCCC